rnacentral:rRNA from 1 species
GAUAAACGCUGGCGGCGUGCAUAACACAUGCAAGUCGAACGAUGAAGCUUAGAUGAUUUCUUCGGAAUGAAUUUAAGUGGAUUAGUGGCGAACGGGUGAGUAACACGUGAGUAACCUGCCUUACACAAGGGGAUAGCCUCUGGAAACGGAGAAUAAUACCCUAUGAUGUCUAAUCAGCUCCUGCUGGAAAGACCAAAGAUUUAUCGGUGUAAGAUGGACUUGCGUCUGAUUAGCUAGUUGGUGAGAUAAAAGCUCACCAAGGCGACGAUCAGUAGCCGGCUUGAGAGAGUGUACGGCCACAUUGGACUGAGACACGGCCCAAACUCCUACGGGAGGCAGCAGUGGGGAAUUUUGCACAAUGGGGGAAACCCUGAUGCAGCGACGCCGCGUGAUUUAGAAGGCCUUCGGGUUGUAAAAAUCUUUUUUACGGGAUGAAAAUGACAGUACCGUAAGAAUAAGGUCCGGCUAAAUACGUGCCAGCAGCCGCGGUAAUACGUAUGGACCGAGCGUUGUCCGGAAUCAUUGGGCGUAAAGGGUACGUAGGCGGCCUAGUAAGUUAGAAGUGAAAGAAUAUAGCUCAACUAUAUAAAGCUUUUAAAACUGUUAGGCUUGAGAGAUGAAAGGGAAAGUGGAAUUCCUAGUGUAGCGGUGAAAUGCGCAGAUAUUAGGAAGAAUACCGGUGGCGAAGGCGACUUUCUGGUCAUCAUCUGACGCUGAGGUACGAAAGCGUGGGUAGCAAACAGGAUUAGAUACCCUGGUAGUCCACGCUGUAAACGAUGAGUGUUAGGUUCUUGGAAUAAUCUGGGAGCCGCAGCUAACGCAUUAAACACUCCGCCUGGGGAGUACGCACGCAAGUGUGAAACUCAAAGGAAUUGACGGGGACCCGCACAAGCAGCGGAGCAUGUGGUUUAAUUCGACGCAACGCGAAGAACCUUACCAAGUCUUGACAUAAUACGGAGGGAAUUAGAGAUAAUUUCUUACCACUUCGGUGGGCUGUAUUACAGGUGGUGCAUGGUUGUCGUCAGCUCGUGUCGUGAGAUGUUGGGUUAAGUCCCAUAACGAGCGCAACCCCUAUCGUUAGUUACCAUCAUUAAGUUGGGGACUCUAGCGAUACUGCCGGUGAUAAACCGGAGGAAGGUGGGGACGACGUCAAAUCAUCAUGCCCUUUAUGACUUGGGCUACACACGUGCUACAAUGGCAGAUACAGAGGGCAGCGAAAGAGUGAUCUGAAGCGAAACUCACAAAAUCUGUCCCAGUUCGGAUUGCACUCUGCAACUCGAGUGCAUGAAGUUGGAGUUGCUAGUAAUCGCGAAUCAGAAUGUCGCGGUGAAUGCGUUCCCGGGUCU